UACCAGCACCCCGAGUGGUCGGGACGAUUAUUGGGCCUAAAGCAUCCGUAGCCGGUUCUGCAAGUCCCCCGUUAAAUCCAGCUGCUCAACAGAUGGGCCGCGGAGGAUACUACAGAGCUAGGAGGCAGGAGAGGCAAGCGGUACUCAGUGGGUAGGGGUAAAAUCCGUUUGAUCCAUUGAAGACCACCAGUGGCGAAAGGCGGCU
rnacentral:rRNA from 1 species